CAUUUCAACUCGCAUCUUCGUCGUCCCGUACGAAUUGAUGCGAGCGAAUAUCGAGAGUCGAGACAGCCGAAAGUGAAAUGUCGCGCGUUUGUGCCAACUGUGAAUCGUGAUGAGCUAGUGUGGCGACCAAAUGCCCAUAUUCGAUCGUGAUGUCGCACUUGGCCACAGCUUUCGUUUGAACGCGUUCGCGUGUGGACGCCGUUGCUUCACCCGUCGCGUUGCGCGUUUAAUUGCGUCUUCUCCAUUGCCUUGUAUCUCGAAUUUCUGACGUGCGUGAAUACCGGAAAUGCCGAAGUGUUGCGUAUUCGUGCGAAGUGUGAAUCGUCGUGAGGAGGAUCUUGUCUCUCAAACAUUCGAUACCUGCGGCCGAGAUGAAGCAACCAGCGCGGCGAACGAAAAUUAAACUUCCAAAGGAUACCUACCAACAUCCCAGUGGCAGAGAAAGACAUGGCACCUAUUGCCCAACCACUUUCUGGACGUAGGAACUCCUCUGGAACUUCUCGACACAUCGAAUGUGUUUCGUCCGGUAAAGUUCCUCGUUCACACGGAGUGCACUGCGUCUCAUCCAUGGGAUGCCGUAUCUAUUUAGAUGAUCAAAGUCACAUUUUUUUCAACGAUCAACUUGACUCGCGUGGUAUUGCGUUGUAUCAGAGUGAAGUUGCUGCUUGUUUUAUUGCGGACGCGGACGGUGGAAGAACGAGCGGAUCCACGAGCGACAUUGCGACGCGUUUAAUUAGUGAGUACGGUCGCAAUUAGUGUCAUUAAUCGCGUAUCUAUUUUAAUGUUUGCCAAUCGUAAUUGAUAGACUUAGCGUCCGUAAAUCGGGAAUUUAUUAAUACGCGUAGAUACGCGAGAUCGCAAAAUUUACUUGAUCCGAGUCGGCCAAGCAACAAUCAGUAAAGCAACGAUCGUAUUGUUUUCGGAUGCCACGUUUCGCAUCUUUAUCUUUGAUCCUGACAUUUACCCCUCUUAUGCCGCUCAUGUUGUAAUACGCAAAAGUAAUCUCAAGUUUAUAUUCGUUUUUCAACUUGCUAAAAGUGUGCGAAAGUGCAGGUUAGAAGCGGAGCAGGUGCAGUGCAUCCUCGCGGCGACGUGACGCUUGCUCGCUGGCGAGUGAAGUUAGCCGCGCGAUUUACGAAUACUCUCUCCGCCAUGUUAGCUAUAGUCGUUGCGUCUACUUACGUGUGUCGGUCACAAGUGUCGGUCGCGAGCGACGUCUUUGCUGUUAUUACUGGCGUCGAGCGGGUCGCGUUCGCAACUCGUCCGCGUUGUCCUUUCGCCACCGUGUAAUAAAGUGCCGUGCCGUGCCGCGUCGCGAUGUUAUUGUUGACGAUAGACGGGCGUAUAGACGGCGGACUGAAUCAUAACCACAAACCAUAGCCGGGGGCUCGCUACAUCGCGAUCACGGAUGCUACCUUCAGUAGUGUUUGGUCGAAGAUCGUGUUCGCGCGCGUAUGUGUGUGUGUGUGUGUGUGCGUAUAAAAAGGAAAAGAGGAAAAGCCGGCGAUACUUUUCGUUCGCCGGGAAAUAGACGGUCGGCCGGAAAUUCAUCGUGAAAACGUCGGCGAUCCGGGCGAAACCCGGAGAGGUAGCAACCGUGAUCGUGAUCGUGAUCGUCCGAAACGAAACCGUCAACCGACAAUCCGCGGUUCGAUACGGGCUCAAUAUUGGGAAUGCCGUGCAAAGUGUCGCGUGAUCGUAACCGGUGACAUUUUCGCGAGUGUACGCCGCGAGUGAAGUGCAAGUGAGUGUGCGUCGGAGAUGGAGCAUCGACGACAAGCUGAGAGGAGGAGGGGGACCCGGAACGGGCAUCGGGCGACGGCGGGGCAACCAUGGGAGUAAUGCAGUUUACAACUCCGCUGCUGCGCAUCGGCUGGU